GGAGGAGUGUGUUGAUGAUGAUGACCCCCGCCCGAGCACGUGGGUGACAGAGUAGAUAAAGCGCGUGCACAGGGGCUGCGGCUUUCUUUCAGCAGGAGGAUGUGGGCUCGUGAGGACGCCGCGACACGACAGAACAUCAGAGGAGCUGCAGCCUCAGCCUGGAGGACCAGCGAGCUGAGCCGCCGCUGCGGUCGACUGUCUAAAGGAGACCACCUGGGACCACUCUGGGGUGUGAACUGAAGAGUUUUGUGACACUUUUUUCUUCAGUGCCUUACAGGUGGGCAGUUUGACCAUCGCAUCAUUGCAUUAAAGAUUUAAUUGUGCUUAAUUCUGUUAUGAUGUAAAACCAAGCGGUUUGGUGUGAAACAUCCAGACGUCUUUACAGUGGUGGUGAUGGGAACCAGGCGUCGCCAUGACUACAACACAGAUAUAGACACUUUAUUUACCAUCCAGAACCUCCAGAGAACC